AUACACAUAUGUAUAUACACAUACACACACACACAUGUGUGUAUUUAUAUGUGUGUGUGAAUAUAUAUAUAUAUAU